rnacentral:other from 1 species
AGUUUUCUGAGGUGUUCGUUAUAUAUACACUGUGUUGACCGAACAUUUUUCUAUAUAUAAUCGGGAUCCAGACAUUCGUAACUAUGACAGGCCUUUUCACUUGGAAGUCAGACAUUGUGAAUGAGGAGCCCACCUGCUUAAACAUGCGGGUUCAAAACAACUAUAUAAGCAAACGGCACUAUCGGAUACUUA